UACAGAGGUCUCAAGCGUUGUUCGGAUUCAUUGGGCGUAAAGGGUGCGUAGGCGGCAGGGUAAGUUGGAUGUGAAAUCCUGGGGCUUAACCUCAGAAUUGCAUUCAAUACUGCCUUGCUAGAGAGCUGUAGAGGAGACUGGAAUUUACGGUGUAGCAGUGAAAUGCGUAGAUAUCGUAAGGAACGCCAGUGGCGAAAGCGAGUCUCUGGGCAGCAUCUGACGCUGAGGCACGAAGGCCAGGGGAGCAAACGGG
rnacentral:rRNA from 1 species